ensembl:lncRNA
GCCCUUGUGAAUUGUAGGUUUGUGACAUGGAAGUGAACCGCUGCACUCAAUGUGACCACGGCAACUGUUGAGAGAAGAGGGGGGUCUGCUGUGCAACACGAAACAGAGAGUGUCUGUUUAAGGAGAGCUGGAGUGGCACCUGUCCCAGCCGCAGAGACAGCACAACGUGGGGCCAAGCAGACGAAUAAUGUGAAACGAUGAGAGACAGCUGAUGACAACGAAAUCAGAUUAGCAGAAAAACAAGUACAAGGUACAUACCACAGGAGCACCUAAAGCCACCCAGUGCCUGCAGUCAGACCCCGGUGGUGACAGAGUCAGCUGUCCUGUCUUUUUUGCCCUUCUCUGUCGCCAUUAAUUUCCCACAAAGGCCCCCAGUGACAGUUCCCUCAUGGUGGCCAUACUUGGAAAGAAGGUGCAUGACAGACACGGGGAGAAUGGGAUACACAAUUUGGGCUCAUGAAAACAGCACUGAGGGACCACAGAGAGGGAGAGGGAAAAAAGGAAAACCUUUGCACUUCCUUGCAAUUAUUCUGUUAAAUCAUGGCUUCUUAUACAUUUUAAAUGCAGUAAAAAUAAAAAAGUAAAAAUAUAAACACUACCUACAAUAAAUUCAAUGCAUCCUUGCUAAAUAAAAUUAUUAAUUUCCUUGAAUUUUUUUUUGCCAUCCCCAUAUUUGGAACAGUAGUGUAGUUAUUUAAAAAUAUGUAAAUAUACAGAGGUGUAAUAUUUGAGUGACUGUCUUGUCAG